GAGAGAAGAACCCUUUUCAGGGCAUUCAGAGAGAAGAACCCUUUUCAGGGCAUUCCCCCUUUAUCUUUUCACAUCAAAUGACUAAAAGUCAAUAUAUAUAAGUCCAAUACGCUAAAAAUAGGUCCCUUCGGGAGGCUGGGCCAGCUUACGGUUGUGUGAAGCCGCCAUCUCUUUCUUCAGCUGCACCAGUAUAUGUUCCAUGGUGUAUUCCCGUUGCCAAUUUCCCAGAACUGCAAAUUUCUUCGCUUCCACCUAUAUCAAGUGAACACCAUACACCAACAAUCAACAAUAUGACAGAAUUGGGAAAUAUGCAUUUAUCAGCUCAAUGAUAGAAAUUCGCCAUGAUAAGCAUAGUGGUGUGAUUAGAGGUUUUAUUGAUCCCAAGUCUCAAAUAAGAUUGUAGCAUCCGUCAUUGAAAUGUUGUGUAUGGUAAAAUAUUUCGACUGUAUCGUCCAACAAAAGGUUGACUUUUAAACUCACUGCCAAUGUGGUUAAGAGUAGUGUACUAUCCUCAUCAGGAAAGGUUCAAGCAACCACCCGGUAUGGAAUAUGAGUAAAUUCACCUCCAAGACGGGUAAGUCAAUCUCAGCCAAAGUUAGAUAUUCUAUUGAACUGCACAAAUUGUUCCAACAACAAACAUUUUUAUUGUAGAAUAUCGGCAACUAACAUAGGGUCAUAUGAAAAGGGCACAAUUUAUGUAAAUAUACUGAUGAUCUACAAUGUUUUCUAUAUCCAUAAAACGUAGACAACAACCAAGAAGCUUUAAGAUCUUCAAUCUUUAUACUUUUUACAAAGGCCAACGAAAGUAAAUAUUGGAAAGUCAAAUUGGUCGGUUAAAUAUCAAUUAUUGUAGAAUAUAUUCAAGUUUGGGUGACUUUUAAUCAAAACAAGAGAUGAUCGGCUGAAGAAGGGCGAGAAAAAAGAAUUUCAAAGUUAAUGGACGAAAUCACAAUUAUCAAAAAGUUGAUUCGAAUCAAGAAAUGAAGAUUGAAGAUCAAAUGGAGUCAACUAAAUGAAAAUUGCCCGAAGCAAGGAUUCAAGCUUAACAAAUGAGCAAAACUGAGGACCAAAUUACAGUUUGAUAAAACAUUAACCCUCGCAGUCGCAAGGAGCAAAGAUCGUACAUGUAUAAUUCGGCAGACGAGGGUAGUUUCCCUUCUUUGAGUGAAAUUCCUUAUGGCAACCAUCUUCGACGUGAAUUACAGAACUUCUUCCAAUGUUGUAAGAUAUGAGAUACCUCUCAUAUCAUAUAGUACAUCAAAUCUCGCAAUCAAGGAGGUCAAAUCAUCACUAUUUUGAAAGAAAUCAAGAGGUAAGAUACAAGAAGUUCAUCAUUUGAAGAUUAAUGAUGUGUUUGAGCAACAUUUAAAAAAAAUGUAUUUUGGAAUAGUAGUUUGAUGGAGAAUGGUAGUUAAAAAAGAAGAAUUUUUUUUUAUUUGCGUGUAAUAUCAUUUUAACGAAGAAUAUGUGAUUGAAAAUAAGAUUAAAAAAUUGUAUUUUAAGAAAAAUGUGAUUCAAAUAUCCCUUGAACCUAGAUUUUUGGAAAAGAAGAGGAAUGUGCAGCUAGAAAUUAACCAAGUAAGAUUGAAGAAAUUCAAGAUUUCAAGGCUUCUCCUCUUCUUAUUCAUAUAUCUCAAAUUCGGGUGAUUUGAAUUCUUGUAACUUUGUAAUGCUAAAUUGGAUUUUUAGUCACUAAGACAUUGAAGGACCUUUGUUAUGAAGUUUUAAUAUCAAUUUCAAUACUUUGAAGCUCAAUAGUAUUUUUUUUUUUUUUUUAGAGUUUAAUGUUUUUUAAGUACUUAGCCCCUGUUUGUCAUCCUUUACUUUACAUUCUUUUCUAUUAUUUUUUCUACAGUACUUAUUUUUAACCACAUAUUCUUCAUUAAAAUAAUAUUACAUGCAAAUCAAAAAAAAUUUCUUCUUUUUUAACUACACAUUCUCUAUCAAUUACUAUUCCAUAAUAUAUAUCUCAGAAUUAAUGGGGCUCAAAUAGGGCCUUAAUCACUAAUUGGUAGAUGUAUGAUUUUUGUUACCUUCUAGAGAAACAAUAAGAAAGAUAACAUGUUUAUAAUAAUUGUUGUGAGAUCUGAUAAAGAAUAAAGAUAUACUGCUAUGUCUUGCAUGGUUGCAAUAGGUUUUCUAGCAUUUUAAUGUAUGCUUUUCAUGUUCGAGAAAGAAUAUUAAAUGAAUGAUAAGUUACAUGAGUUGAUAAGUUUAAUAAUUCUACUCAAGAAAGAAUAUUAAAUGAAUUAAGAACAUUGAUCAACAAGGAUAAAUAAAUAUUUUCAAGAUAUUGAAUUGUAUUGGAAAUGGAGAUUUGAAGUCUUGUGCUUAUUUUAAUCAAGUUUAUAAAAAAGUUCUUAAUUGCUACUUUAGCUAUUCAAUUCAUCGUAGGCGGGAAAUACAGAUCUUAAAUGAGCGAUGUUCUUGCCGGAAUUCAACUUAAUUUCUUCAAAACAAAGUGAUAUUGGCAGUAGGCACAGCAAACCCACAAAACACAAUGAUAUUGGCACGCAAAAGAAACCACGUUAAUCAUUCGGACCCCAUCAAUUCGUUCACUGGGGAAUACAGUAUCAAGAAGCCAAGAAAGUAAGAGAGAAGAACCCUUUUCAGGGCAUUCCCCCUUUAUCUUUUCACAUCAAAUGACUAAAAGUCAAUAUAUAUAAGUCCAAUACGCUAAAAAUAGGUCCCUUCGGGAGGCUGGGCCAGCUUACGGUUGUGUGAAGCCGCCAUCUCUUUCUUCAGCUGCACCAGUAUAUGUUCCAUGGUGUAUUCCCGUUGCCAAUUUCCCAGAACUGCAAAUUUCUUCGCUUCCACCUAUAUCAAGUGAACACCAUACACCAACAAUCAACAGUAUGACAGAAUUGGGAAAUAUGCAUUUAUCAGCUCAAUGAUAGAAAUUCGCCAUGAUAAGCAUAGUGGUGUGAUUAGAGGUUUUAUUGAUCCCAAGUCUCAAAUAAGAUUGUAGCAUCCGUCAUUGAAAUGUUGUGUAUGGUAAAAUAUUUCGACUGUAUCGUCCAACAAAAGGUUGACUUUUAAACUCACUGCCAAUGUGGUUAAGAGUAGUGUACUAUCCUCAUCAGGAAAGGUUCAAGCAACCACCCGGUAUGGAAUAUGAGUAAAUUCACCUCCAAGACGGGUAAGUCAAUCUCAGCCAAAGUUAGAUAUUCUAUUGAACUGCACAAAUUGUUCCAACAACAAACAUUUUUAUUGUAGAAUAUCGGCAACUAACAUAGGGUCAUAUGAAAAGGGCACAAUUUAUGUAAAUAUACUGAUGAUCUACAAUGUUUUCUAUAUCCAUAAAACGUAGACAACAACCAAGAAGCUUUAAGAUCUUCAAUCUUUAUACUUUUUACAAGGUAAAUAAAUGGUAAACUAUGAAGGUCAGACAGCCACUUGUCCUGGCAUCGCACUCUUCCAUUAAGGGGAGAGAAGAUAACCAGAAAGAUAAUGUAUGCUUUAGCGCCAAAUUACGAUUCCGUUGGUCGCUGAAGAGUAAAUAAAUGCACGUAAAAAACAUUAGAUCUAUUUUUACUAACUCAACAGCUGAGGAUAUAGCAAUUCCAAUUUGUUAACAAAAAUCCAUACUAUCAACUUAAAGACCGGAUCAAAAUUUCCUUACCACUC
rnacentral:lncRNA from 1 species